AGAGUUCGGGAGAGACUGCCUUGACUGGCGGAGCCGAAGGUGAGAAAAACUCUCAGGCAAAAGGACCGGAUU
rnacentral:ncRNA from 1 species